UACGGAGGAUGCGAGCGUUAUCCGGAUUUAUUGGGUUUAAAGGGUGCGCAGGCGGAAGAUCAAGUCAGCGGUAAAAUUGAGAGGCUCAACCUCUUCGAGCCGUUGAAACUGGUUUUCUUGAGUGAGCGAGAAGUAUGCGGAAUGCGUGGUGUAGCGGUGAAAUGCAUAGAUAUCACGCAGAACCCCGAUUGCGAAGGCAGCCUGCCAAGCCAUGACUGACGCUGAUGCACGAAAGCGUGGGGAUCGAACAGG
rnacentral:rRNA from 1 species